CUACGGGCUGCUGCAGUGGGGAAUAUUGCACAAUGGGCGCAAGCCUGAUGCAGCCAUGCCGCGUGUAUGAAGAAGGCCUUCGGGUUGUAAAGUACUUUCAGCGGGGAGGAAGGGAGUAAAGUUAAUACCUUUGCUCAUUGACGUUACCCGCAGAAGAAGCACCGGCUAACUCCGUGCCAGCAGCCGCGGUAAUACGGAGGGUGCAAGCGUUAAUCGGAAUUACUGGGCGUAAAGCGCACGCAGGCGGUUUGUUAAGUCAGAUGUGAAAUCCCCGGGCUCAACCUGGGAACUGCAUCUGAUACUGGCAAGCUUGAGUCUCGUAGAGGGGGGUAGAAUUCCAGGUGUAGCGGCGAAAUGCGUAGAGAUCUGGAGGAAUACCGGUGGCGAAGGCGGCCCCCUGGACGAAGACUGAUGCUCAGGUGCGAAAGCGUGGGGAGCAAACAGGAUUAGAUACCCUCGUAGUC
rnacentral:rRNA from 1 species